CUUAAACCUAUCUUAAUUUUAAAAGUGCCUGAUAUAUGAUGAGAUAAUCAAUGUUUUAAAUGUAUUUCCAGAAUGCAGAAAAAAGACAGCUUUGCUGUAUCUUCACUUGUUCAGCUCAUCUCCCACACCUGAAGUGUGAUGCGCCUGCCAGUUUACAGAUAGACAUCUGAAGCACAGAGGUUGUUUUUUAUAAGCAUUGUUUCUAAAUUGGUGCUGUACACAUCUCAUGAAGUACUUCAGCUUCCUCUUACAAUGACUAGAACUGGAGUUAAGA
rnacentral:lncRNA from 1 species